GACGAGCGCUGGCGGCGUGCUUAACACAUGCAAGUCGAGCGGAAAGGCCCUUUCGGGGGUACUCGAGCGGCGAACGGGUGAGUAACACGUGAGUAAUCUGCCCUUGGCUUUGGGAUAACCACCGGAAACGGUGGCUAAUACCGGAUAUGACGGGCUCCGGCAUCGGGGUUCGUGGAAAGUUUUUUCGGCCAGGGAUGUGCUCGCGGCCUAUCAGCUUGUUGGUGGGGUAAUGGCCUACCAAGGCUUCGACGGGUAGCCGGCCUGAGAGGAUGAUCAGUCACACUGGAACUGAGACACGGUCCAGACUCCUACGGGAGGCAGCAGUGAGGAAUAUUGGGCAAUGCACGAAAGUGUGACCCAGCAACGCCGCGUGGAGGAUGAAGGUAUUCUAUAUCGUAAACUCCUGUGAGAGCAGACGAAAGACAGAUUAUUAAUUGGAUGACUGUAUGCUCAGAGGAAGCCCCGGCUAACUACGUGCCAGCAGCCG
rnacentral:rRNA from 1 species